GCUUUUCGGGUUCGGGCCUAGCCCGACGAACCAGGGAGCUGCCUACUACCUACUAAUCCUAGUUUGACCGCGCCCACAGGGCUUUGACCGAGCCCACCAAGUACAAUCGGAACGACAACCGGGCCCACAGACUAGGAACAGAGCACAACCGGGCCCAUAGGCCAGGAGCAGAGUACUACGGGAAUUUGAAUCGGAAGUGAUGACCGAGUUGGAGAAUCCUACUUAUGCUGGUCGAAAUGGCUGUAAACAAUCGAGGUGGGACUAAACUCCCAACUCGCUUCGCGGAAACUCGCACUGAGGAGCACUAGUGGCAGUGAAAACGUAAGCACCGCCACGGGUGUGAAGCACAGGUGGGGGUGAAACGAAUUGAAUGGGCACUAGUACUGAGCACUAGUGGCGGUGCGGGCAACUCAAACAACCACUGGUAUGAUUUUUCUUUUCUCGCCUAUUUUUCUGUCAUUUUUCUUUCUGCUAUUUUAUUCUUUUUAUUUCAAUAAUAGGAAGUUUGUGAGAGAAUUCACCCAAAACUUUAGGAAUUUUGGUAUAAAUUCGUAAGCCACUGAUACGCUUUAACCACUAGUGGCCGUGAGUACACAGCAAACCGGCACUACUAUGGAGCACUAGUGGCGGUGUUGCAGCUAGACCUGCCACUAGUAUGAUUCCCAGGAUCAUUGGAGACCCUAAGUUUGUCUACCACGUAUUAGCGGCGGUUCUCACGACAAAAACCGCCACUGGUAAUGAAUUUCCAAUAAGCUAUUAAAUUCAUAUUAUAUUCUCUGGGUUUAAAAUAAAUACACCACCUCUUAUUUAAUGUGUAUAAUAAUAUUGUUUAUCCUCAAUAAACGUUUGAACCAUAAAUUCAAAUGUUAUAUACCCUAAUUUCUAUGAUUAAGUGUCAUUAUGUCUGGUUUUUGUGCU
rnacentral:lncRNA from 1 species